AGCCUGUUCUAUAAUCGAUAAUCCACGAUAUACCUAACCACUUCUUGCUAUGCAGCCUGUAUACCUCCGUCGUAAGCUUACCAUUUGAAUGCAUGUAGUGGGCUUAAGGACUCAACGCCAAAACGUCAGGUCAAGGUGCAGCCUAUGAAGUGGAAGCAAUGAGCUACAAUUUCUAAAUUAGAACAAACAAAACACUACAUGAAACAUAGCCACAAGGAGGAUCUAGUAGUAAAUAAGAAAUAGAGAGCCUUAUUAAAUUUUGGCCAUAGGAUGUGUACAAACCGCCCGUCACCCUCUUCGAUAU
rnacentral:rRNA from 1 species